rnacentral:lncRNA from 1 species
AAACCUCACAAACUUCAUAUAUUCUCCCAUCGUAACAACAAUGUACAUCUCCUCCAAUAUCCAACCAUACCAUACUCUUCCAUCACCCACCCUAAAUCAUGUAUUACUUCUAGCAAAAUACAUUCAGACUAGCAAUAGUUCCUUGGAGGUAUCUGAUAAAUUCUCUACUUAAAUCAACUAAUAUUGAUGACCGCACAACACUUAUUGUUAAAAAUCAUGAAAUCCAAAACAACUCUAUUGAACCAUAUUUCUAACAAAAACCAGAAUACUGAUGUGAAAUACUAAUUGCCUAAAAAUCAAUUGGCAACUUCAAUCCAAAACAAAAUUAGAAGAAAAACUAUAAUGUCAUAUUUUUGUCCUUGGAGUGUUUGAUUUGGCAAGAACUUCAAGAUUAACGAGGCCGAGAGGCAUGAGUCCCAAAGUGAGCCCAAACAUCAUGCCGGCAAAAGCCAAAGACAACUUCAGUUCCCAUUUUUCCAAAUCAUCUGGUCGAUUCCACUCUUCAAACUCCUCGUAUGGGAGUUUUGGAUGGUUUGAGACCCCCUCUUUGAAGCAGUUGAUUUUGGGGCUUUUCAGAUUGAUUUUGGGACGUAUAAAUUACGGUGAUUAGAGGUUUUAAUUUAUUUUAAGUGUAUUAAUCUAGUUUGUUUUUUUUCAGACUAG